rnacentral:lncRNA from 1 species
GUUGUUCUACCGUAGUGCCGUUCCUGCCGUUUUGAAGAAAUUGAAUUGAAGCUUGAAAGUACCUCUCUUACUUAUUGUGAGCUCGCUAUUUUUUUUCUUCCUGUAAUUUUAACCAUCAAAACUAUUAAGAACUCUACGAAGAAGGACGCAAAAAACAAAUUAGAUUGGUUUGCAUUAUUUUUUUUAAGUUAAAUGUCAUUAGUAAAAUUAAUGUAGUUUUGUAAAUGUUAAAAAAAAUUAGUUAUAGUAUAAAACCUGAAAAUCGAAUGGAAUCAAACUGAACCGAAUAAAAUCGAACACGAUGCUACCAAAAAUCGUACCUAAUGAUUUCCCGAGCUUGGCUAUCCUCAAUUAGCACGAUCGUAGUCUUCCGAUACUUGAAAAUAGGGCAACGAGGUAUGUUCUCAUCGCCCCUCCGAUUCUUCAAUUAGAAAGGGAAUUAUAUGCGUG